CCCAGAAACCCUUUGUGAACUUAUACCUUACUGUUGCCUCGGCGCAUGCUGGCCCCCUCGGGGUCCCCUGGAGACAGGGAGCAGGCACGCCGGCGGCCAAGUUAACUCUUGUUUUUAUACUGAAACUCUGAGAAAAAACACAAAUGAAUCAAAACUUUCAACAACGGAUCUCUUGGUUCUGGCAUCGAUGAAGAACGCAGCGAAAUGCGAUAAGUAAUGUGAAUUGCAGAAUUCAGUGAAUCAUCGAAUCUUUGAACGCACAUUGCGCCCUCUGGUAUUCCGGAGGGCAUGCCUGUUCGAGCGUCAUUUCAACCCUCAAGCACUGCUUGGUGUUGGGGCACUGCUUUUUACGAAGCAGGCCCUGAAAUCCAGUGGCGAGCUCGCCAGGACCCCGAGCGUAGUAGUUAAACCCUCGCUUUGGAAGGCCCUGGCGGUGCCCUGCCGUUAAACCCCCAACUUUUGAAAAUUUGACCUCGGAUCAGGUAGGAAUACCCGCUGAACUUAAGCAUAUCAAUAAGCGGAGGAA
rnacentral:rRNA from 1 species